CGGUGAUAGAGGUUAGAGUUGAGCGUCAAAACAAUGAAGAGAAGAGUCGACCUGUUUAAAGGGACAAGAAAUGAACAACAGUAAUGUAUGCUGUUAUAAACAUGAAAGAGGUGCCAUAGGCACUGAAGCUGUUCAAUAGUACAGAUGCAGUGAAAAUUCAACAUAAGGAGAUGGUGAUAUUAAGGAUGCCACCAAUCAUUCUUUGGGUACGAAACACCAACCAAUCAUCUUAAAUAAGGAAUAGACGCCCCUUGGAGGGGAUGGCAGCGAUCGAAUGAGC